AACCAUGGUCAUGUGUCCAAGCCAUAUAUGGUACUUGAUGCUGCCCUCCGAGGUUAGACCUAACAGCGGCAGCACCGAUGAGCCACGAGCCACUGGGUAGAACAGAAAUGCUAAACACACAUUCCCCGUAAGCCCUAUCCACAACGCUAUAUCGAAUAACUUCAUUUCCCAUCUGCCAAAAACCACCAAAUUAUAUUCGAAUUUCGAAGUGUUUUCCCUUUUUUUGAAUGAAUUAACGUUCAUUUGUGGUAUCAAUGAAUUGAUUAAUUGGAUCUUACACUUUGACUCCUUCUUUUGCAGCUGCUUUUGGAGUGAUGGUAUGUAACCUACGUAAAUAAGUUACCAGUGUCCAAACCAGGAGUGCAAUAAACAUGAUCAACAAGGCUAACUCUAUCCCCGAAACUAUCCCAAGGGGACCUUUCACUAAAAC
rnacentral:lncRNA from 1 species